GACGAACGCUGGCGGCGUGCUUAACACAUGCAAGUCGAACGGAAAGGCCCUGCUUUUGUGGGGUGCUCGAGUGGCGAACGGGUGAGUAACACGUGAGUAACCUGCCCUUGACUUUGGGAUAACUUCAGGAAACUGGGGCUAAUGCCGGAUAGGAGCUCCUGCUGCAUGGUGGGGGUUGGAAAGUUUCGGCGGUUGGGGAUGGACUCGCGGCUUAUCAGCUUGUUGGUGGGGUAGUGGCUUACCAAGGCUUUGACGGGUAGCCGGCCUGAGAGGGUGACCGGCCACAUUGGGACUGAGAUACGGCCCAGACGCCUACGGGAGGCAGCAGUGGGGAAUAUUGCACAAUGGGCGGAAGCCUGAUGCAGCAACGCCGCGUGCGGGAUGACGGCCUUCGGGUUGUAAACCGCUUUCGCCUGUGACGAAGCGUGAGUGACGGUAAUGGGUAAAGAAGCACCGGCUAACUACGUG
rnacentral:rRNA from 1 species